rnacentral:rRNA from 1 species
UAGGUUUAGAAUUAUUAAAGUUAUUAAUGGAAAUAGCUUUUUGUUUAAGUAUUUUUUUUUUGAAAGAAGGUUUAUUAUUAUAGUUAAUAAGUAUUGUGAAAGAGUUUUUUUUAAUUGUUUAUAAGAAUUAUUGAAAAUAGGUACCUUGUGUAUCAGGGUUUAAUGAAAAAAUUUUUUUAUAAAUAUUUCUCGAAUUAUAAAGAGCUAAUGGCUUAUAAAUUUAAUUGUUGAAUAAAUUUUUAAAAUAAGUUGUUGGUAAUGAAACGUUAUUCGUUUUUUAAGAUAUCUGGUUUUUUAAGAAAUAAAUUUAAUUUAUUUAUUUGAAUUUAUAUUGUUAAUUGUUUAAUUAUGUAAUUUAAAUAUGAAAUAUUUUAGGGGAUAAGCUUUAUGGUAAAUUUUUAAAAUGAAAUUGUAAUAGAAAAAUUUAGUGGAAUUAGUGUUAUUUAAAUUAUUAUGUUAUAAUUAUUUUUUUUUUUUAUAAGAUUUUAUUAUUGUUUAGUUAUUUUAUUAAAAUAGUUAAUUAAAUUUUUUUUUUUUUGAAAUUAUGUUUUAAUUAGUAGAUUUAAUGUAAGCGUUAGGUUUAGUGGUUAGAUUAGGUUAAGGAAUUCGGCAAAUUAAUUCUUCGCCUGUUUAAUAAAAACAUGUCUUUUCGAUAAUAAUUUAAAGUCUAAUCUGCCCAAUGACAAGUUAAAUGGCCGCGGUAUUUUGACCGUGCAAAGGUAGCAUAAUCAUUAGUUUUUUAAUUGGAAGCUGGUAUGAACGAUUGGACGAGGGAAUGACUGUCUUUAUUUAAUUGUUUUGAAUUUUAUUUUUUGGUAAAAAAGCUUAAAUUAUUUUAAUAGACGAGAAGACCCUAUAGAGUUUUAUAAUAGGGUUUUUGCAUGUUUUGAAGAAAAUUUUUAUUUGUAAAUAUAUGGAUUAUUUUGUUGGGGCGAUAGAAAAAUUGAAUAAACUUUUUUUAUUUUAAAUCAUUAAUUUAUGUUUGAGUGAUCCAUGUUUUGUGAUAAAAAGAUUAAAUUACCUUAGGGAUAACAGCGUAAUUUUUUUUUAGAGUUCUAAUCGAAAGAAGAGUUUGCGACCUCGAUGUUGGAUUAAAAUUAACUUUUGGUGUAGGGGCUAAAUGGUUAGGUCUGUUCGACCUUUAAAAUUUUACAUGAUCUGAGUUUAAACCGGCGUGAGCCAGGUUGGUUUCUAUCUUUAAAAUUUAAUAGAUAUUUUAGUACGAAAGGAUCAAAAAUUUAGAAAAAUUGUUUUAUUUAGAAUUUUAUUA